CCAAAGGCUCUUCUCAGAGCCGCCACAUGGUCGCUAAGAGUUGGAA
rfam:Xenopus tropicalis strain Nigerian Chr06_contig_59, whole genome shotgun sequence.